GUGCUCACUCCGUCAGCACAUAUACUAAAAUUGGAAUGAUACAGAAAAGAUUAGUAUGGGCCCUGUGCAGGGAUGGCAUGUAACUCAUGACACAUUACCUAUAUUU